GAAAUGCGAUAAGUAAUGUGAAUUGCAGAAUUCAGUGAAUCAUCGAAUCUUUGAACGCACAUUGCACCUCUUGGUAUUCCUUGAGGUAUGCCUGUUCGAGCGCCGUUUGAAUCCUAAAGCUUUUGCUUUGUGUUGAGCUAUGUCGGUUUAGCCGACAAGCUUCAAAUUCAUUUUGCCCAAGUCAAUUUGUGUAAAGCAGUGAAAGUGCUAAACUCAUCUUUGACAAAGGCAUGUCAAACGAUCGCAUGGCCUCGGAUCAGGUAGGGCUACCCGCUGAACUUAA
rnacentral:misc_RNA from 1 species